CCGGGGUGCGCAUGGUGAAGGGAGGUGGGUGGACGCACAAGAGAGGUGUUGGGGACCUAAUUCUGAGACGAGGUUUGAAAGGGAGGGGGACCACCCCAGCUCCAAAUAGAGGAAACAGCUUUGCAAAGGCCCAGGGGAACUGAAGGGUAUUUUAUUUUUUAUUUUUAUUAGCGCAGGUUUGCAGGGCCUGAUAAGGACAUUCCUCGCCAACAGCUGGUACAUGUCCAAGGCCAGCUCCAGUCCUUCUGAGCCCUCUUCUCCUCGCCCUCCUCCUCCUCUCCCCAUCUCUUCCUCUAUUUCCCUUCCUGCAAAAGAGCCAUGUCUUUGCUUCCUGUUACCCACCCCUCCUGGUGUUUUGCUCUUUAUUUAGAUUUGGGGUUUCUCCUGGGAGAGAACGGGAGCACUCCUGAAGCUUGUGUGUCCGACUGAUCUCAUAUUAUGGUCUCCGGGUGCUUCGUCUGUUUGCCUUGUUCAGAGGAUUCCAGGCGCCUGCGCCCUGAGGUCUGAAAAGUGAAAUUCUAUUGAAAUGAUUGAACGGAAAUCGAAAGCCGCUGUCUUAGGGCUGGCGGUGUAACUGACCCGGCAAAAGCUGUCCAGGAGGAGCAACGGGGUAUUUAUCGAGGCCUGCCCAUCCCUUGCCAGAUACAGUCAGGCGUGGAUUCUGCGGCUUAGUCACCGUCACCGUACAAACAUCCCGAGGCACAAUGACGCAGACCGGCUACACGUCCAGGCAGCGCACCACUCAGCUGCGCACUGCAGACCACGACACCAAGGGAACCAUAAAGCAACCUGGACAUAGACAUGGUGGAUCAAGACACUCUAACUGCUCAGUCAGAACCCAGUGACGGAGGGUUGUUGAUGGUUGCUGGCACCACAAGCAAACAAAACAAGCCAAAUCUUUAAAGAAAAUAAUUACGAAAAAUCCUAUAGCUAAAUUAAAAGUUUUGUUUCAACAGAAAAA